AAAUAGUCAACAGGGUCGCAAGAAGCGUGUGGAAAAACCAAGGCGCAAAAUAACUGCCCAUGAACUGAGAAAAGUCAAGCGUGCAGCUGCCACGAUGCCACUUGCCACCAGUUUGGCCAUAUUUCAGAGCUGCAACAUCACUGGAGUGCCCAAAAUCACAAGGUGUGCAAUACUCAGAGACAUGGCCAAGGUAAGAAAGGCUGAAAGACGACCACCACUGAACAAGACACACAAGCUGAAACGUCAGGACUGGGCCAAGAAAUAUCUCAAGACUGAUUUUUCUAAGGUUUUAUGGACUGAUGAAAUGAGAGUGAGUCUUGAUGGGCCAGAUGGAUGGGCCCGUGGCUGGAUUGGUAAAGGGCAGAGAGCUCCAGUCCGACUGAGACGCCAGCAAGGUGGAGGUGGAGUACUGGUUUGGGCUGGUAUCAUCAAAGAUGAGCUUGUGGGGCCUUUUCGGGUUGAGGAUGGAGCCAAGCUCAACUCCCAGUCCUACUGCCAGUUCCUGGAAGACACCUUCUUCAAGCAGUGGUACAGGAAGAAGUCUGCAUCCUUCAAGAAAAACAUGAUUUUCAUGCAGGACAAUGCUCCAUCACACGCGUCCAAGUACUCCACAGCGUGGCUGGCAAGAAAGGGUAUAAAAGAAGAAAAUCUAAUGACAUGGCCUCCUUGUUCACCUGAUCUGAACCCCAUUGAGAACCUGUGGUCCAUCAUCAAAUGUGAGAUUUACAAG